GACGAACGCUGGCGGCGUGCUUAACACAUGCAAGUCGAACGGAAAGGCCCUGCUUUUGUGGGGUGCUCGAGUGGCGAACGGGUGAGUAACACGUGAGUAACCUGCCCUUGACUUUGGGAUAACUUCAGGAAACUGGGGCUAAUACCGGAUAGGAGCUCCUGCUGCAUGGUGGGGGUUGGAAAGUUUCGGCGGUUGGGGGUGGACUCGCGGCUUAUCAGCUUGUUGGUGGGGUAGUGGCUUACCAAGGCUUUGACGGGUAGCCGGCCUGAGAGGGUGACCGGCCACAUUGGGACUGAGAUACGGCCCAGACUCCUACGGGAGGCAGCAGUGGGGAAUAUUGCACAAUGGGCGGAAGCCUGAUGCAGCAACGCCGCGUGCGGGAUGACGGCCUUCGGGUUGUAAACCGCUUUCGCCUGUGACGAAGCGUGAGUGGCGGUAAUGGGUAAAGAAGCACCGGCUAACUACGUG
rnacentral:rRNA from 1 species